GACGAACGCUGGCGGCGUGCCUAAUACAUGCAAGUCGAGCGAAGUUUUUUCUGGUGCUUGCACUAGAAAAACUUAGCGGCGAACGGGUGAGUAACACGUAAAGAACCUGCCUCAUAGACUGGGACAACUAUUGGAAACGAUAGCUAAUACCGGAUAACAGCAUUAACUGCAUGGUUGAUGUUUGAAAGUUGGUUAUGCUAACACUAUGAGAUGGCUUGCGGUGCAUUAGCUAGUUGGUGGGGUAAAGGCCCACCAAGGCGACGAUGCAUAGCCGACCUGAGAGGGUGAUCGGCCAUACUGGGACUGAGACACGGCCCAGACUCCUACGGGAGGCAGCAGUAGGGAAUCUUCCGCAAUGGGCGAAAGCCUGACGGAGCAACGCCGCGUGAGUGAAGAAGGAUUUCGGUUGUAAAGCUCUGUUGUUAGGGAAGAAAGGAUAUGU
rnacentral:rRNA from 1 species